rnacentral:rRNA from 1 species
AUUUGGAGAGGAUGCUUUUGGCGCGGCGCCGUCCGAGUUCCUUGGAACAGGACGCCAUAGAGGGUGAGAGCCCCGUACGGGCGGCCGCCUAGCCUUUGUAAAGCUCCUUCGACGAGUCGAGUAGUUUGGGAAUGCUGCUCAAAAUGGGAGGUAAAUUUCUUCUAAAGCUAAAUACCGGCCAGAGACCGAUAGCGCACAAGUAGAGUGAUCGAAAGAUGAAAAGCACUUUGAAAAGAGGGUUAAAAAGUACGUGAAAUUGUUGAAAGGGAAGCGCCUGUGACCAGACUUGCGGCCCGUGGAUCAUCCGGUGUUCUUCACCGGUGCACUCCGCGGGCUGCAGGCCAGCAUCGGUUUUCCUAGGGGGAUAAAGGUCGCGGGAACGUAGCUCCCUCGGGAGUGUUAUAGCCCGUGGCGUCAUGCCUCUGGGGGGACCGAG